UACGUAGGGUGCGAGCGUUGUCCGGAAUUAUUGGGCGUAAAGGGCUCGUAGGCGGUUUGUCGCGUCGGGAGUGAAAACCCAGGGCUUAACCCUGGGCUGGCUUCCGAUACGGGCAGACUAGAGGUAUGCAGGGGAGAACGGAAUUCCUGGUGUAGCGGUGAAAUGCGCAGAUAUCAGGAGGAACACCGGUGGCGAAGGCGGAUCUCUGGGCCGAUACUGACGCUGAGGAGCGAAAGCGUGGGGAGCGAACAGG
rnacentral:rRNA from 1 species